rnacentral:rRNA from 1 species
GACGAACGCUGGCGGCGUGCUUAACACAUGCAAGUCGAACGGUAAGGCCCUUCGGGGUACACGAGUGGCGAACGGGCGAGUAACACGUGGGUAACCUGCCCUUUACUUUGGGAUAACUACCAUAAAUGGUGGCUCAUACCGAAUAUGACUCCUGCCUGCAUGGGCGGGGGUGGCAAGCUUCGGCGGUAAGGGAUGGACUCGCGGCCUAUCAGCUUGUUGGUGAGGUAGUGGCUCACCAAGGCGUCGACGGGUAGCCGGCCUGAGAGGGUGACCGGUCACAGUGGGACUGAGAUACGGCCCAGACUCCUACGGGAGGCAGCAGUGGGGAAUAUUGCGCAAUGGGCGGAAGCCUGACGCAGCAACGCCGCGUGCGGGAUGACGGCCUUCGGGUUGUAAACCGCUUUCAGCAGGGACGAAGCUUUUGUGACGGUACCUGCAGAAGAAGCACCGGCCAACUACGUGCCAGCCGCCGCCGUAA